GCUGGCGUAGCUCAAUUGGCAGAGCAGCUGAUUUGUAAUCAGCAGGUUGCGGGUUCAAGUCCCAUAAGUCCCAUCGCCAGCUCCA
rnacentral:tRNA from 1 species